rnacentral:rRNA from 1 species
UCACUUUCAACAACGGAUCUCUUGGUUCUCGCAUCGAUGAAGAACGUAGCGAAGUGCGAUAAGUAAUGUGAAUUGCAGAAUUCCGUGAAUCAUCGAAUCUUUGAACGCAAAUUGCACUCCCUGGUAUUCCGGAGAGUAUGCCUGUUUGAGGGUCAGUG